rnacentral:rRNA from 1 species
GUGGGGAAUAUUGGACAAUGGGCGCAAGCCUGAUCCAGCCAUGCCGCGUGAGUGAUGAAGGCCCUAGGGUUGUAAAGCUCUUUCACCGGUGAAGAUAAUGACGGUAACCGGAGAAGAAGCCCCGGCUAACUUCGUGCCAGCAGCCGCGGUAAUACGAAGGGGGCUAGCGUUGUUCGGAAUUACUGGGCGUAAAGCGCACGUAGGCGGACAUUUAAGUCAGUGGUGAAAUCCCAGAGCUCAACUCUGGAACUGCCUUUGAUACUGGGUGUCUUGAGUAUGGAAGAGGUAAGUGGAAUUCCGAGUGUAGAGGUGAAAUUCGUAGAUAUGCGGAGGAACACCAGUGGCGAAGGCGACUCACUGGCCCGUUACUGACGCUGAGGCGCGAAAGCGUGGGGAGCAAACAGGAUUAGAUACCCGGGUAGUCC